GGCAUUCUCAGGUGACACACCCCAGGAUGAGGCUCCCUUCUCUCUGGUUCAGGGUGCAUUACCCGAGAACCGCC
rfam:Myotis lucifugus cont2.34869, whole genome shotgun sequence.